UACGGAGGGGGUUAGCGUUGUUCGGAAUUACUGGGCGUAAAGCGCGCGUAGGCGGAUUGUUAAGGCGGGGGUGAAAUCCCGGGGCUCAACCCCGGAACUGCCUUCGAUACUGGCAAUCUAGAGGUCUGGAGAGGUGAGCGGAAGUCCGAGUGUAGAGGUGAAAUCCGUAGAUAUUCGGAGGAACACCAGUGGCGAAGGCGGCUCACUGGACAGAUACUGACGCUGAGGAGCGAAAGUGUGGGGAGCAAACAGG
rnacentral:rRNA from 1 species